rnacentral:rRNA from 1 species
UACAGAGGUCUCAAGCGUUGUUCGGAUUCAUUGGGCGUAAAGGGUGCGUAGGCGGCGCGGUAAGUCGGGUGUGAAAUCUUGGAGCUUAACUCCGAAACUGCAUUCGAUACUGCCGUGCUUGAGGACUGGAGAGAGACUGGAAUUUACGGUGUAGCAGUGAAAUGCGUAGAGAAUCGUAAGGAAGACCAGUGGCGAAGGCGGGUCGUCUGGACAGUUCCUGACACUGAGGCACGAAGGCCAGGGGAGCAAACGGG